GCCCAGGUAGCUCAGUUGGUAGAGCACUCGACUGAAAAUCGAGGUGUCGGUGGUUCAAAUCCGCCCCUGGGCA